rnacentral:rRNA from 1 species
GUGGGGAAUAUUGGGCAAUGGAGGCAACUCUGACCCAGCAACGCCGCGUGAAGGAAGAAGGCCUUAGGGUUGUAAACUUAUGUUGUAAAGGAAGAAAAGAAUGACGGUACUUUACAAGAAAGCCCCGGCUAACUAUGUGCCAGCAGCCGCGGUAAGACAUAGGGGGCAAGCGUUGUUCGGAAUUACUGGGCGUAAAGGGAGCGUAGGCGGGAGAUUAAGUUAAGAGUGAAAGCCUUGGGCUCAACCCAAGAAAUGCUCUUAAUACUGGUUUUCUAGAGUGUGGGAGAGGUAAGUGGAAUUCCUAGUGUAGCGGUAGAAUGCGUAGAGAUUAGGAGGAACAUCAGAGGCGAAGGCGGCUUACUGGACCAUAACUGACGCUGAGGCUCGAAAGCGUGGGGAGCAAACAGGA